ACUCACUGCUGCACCCGCUGGUGUCUUUCAAUGCAGCAGCCGCUCGCUCGUUGUUUCUUGCUCUUCGCCAGCUGUCUUGCUGCUCUUCAUCUCUUGCGCGUUUCUUUCCACCGUCGACGGUGCUGCGCACUGCCAUGAUGACGUCGCCUCCCAGCGCACGGCCAUGCAACUUCGAAGACAUUGACAUCUGUCUCUUCAAGCUACUCUACAGCCCACCGCUGUCCCUCGCGGCCCUCGUGCGCGCCGGACUGUUCACCGAAGACGACGACUUGCGCAGCAGCAAGCGGUCGGUCACCAUGCCCCUGCUCCUUGUCGCCUCUCCCCCGGCCUCAGGCGCUGCAGGCGGUGCCGCGCUGGUGUCGCCGGCCGCCGUGAUAUCUGCCUUAGCUCGUUGCAACGGUGCCUCUUGGAACAAGGAGAACGAUGGUGCGAGAGUUGCGCAACCACAGCGGCCACCAGCCCGCCCCCUGUCCGCGAACGCCUCCCCCGCACUCGUGACGCCGUCACCUGCGCCAGCGGCUUUCCCAAACGUUGCAGCCUCCCCGAUCACGACGGCUGCAACGACCGCUGUUCCAUGCAUGUCCUCCGAGGCACUGCGGCGGCGCCGGUGCCGGAUUUGCCACCGCCUCCUCGUCGUCGCACUCUGUCGCCCCAGCUGACCCGGAGCUCGAUAAGUGGGCCUGCAGCCUGUAUUCGCUCUUGGGUUGUUAUCGUCAGCAUGAGCGGCACUGCCCGCAUCCAUCUCUCGAUGGCUACCGACGCCACCACCAUCUCCGCCACCACCGCUGCGAGACCGACAGCGUCAUCGAAGAGUCUUCGUCAUCUCCACGAACAUCAUCGGCCGCCUCCUCAUAGGACCGUCGUGGCUGGCCAAACCACCGUGUGCUGGCGUGUGGCAAGGACUCUGUCGAGCUACACUUCGUACAGCAGCUGCACAGCGGCCGGCCUCUACCACGACAUGCUCCUCAUGCGCAGACAGCGCAGCCGCAGCAACAAGAAGGCCGGGAGGUGUGGAGCAUGAGUGGCAGGGGCGAGGCAACCAAGCGCACACCGCUGACUGUGGAACAGAAGGCGGCGCCACACUCCGGUUAAUUCUCCCAGACUCUAGCUACGAGCCGAGCCUCACAGGCGGGCAUUGUGCGCACCGGCCCGCCGAUGUCCCUGCGAAAACCACCUCGCUUGAUUGCAGGAGCGAACUUCCAAGUGAGACCAAAGAGACCGCCCAGGUGGCGGCCAUGACGGCGACGGCGACCGCAGGCCGCGCAGCAGCAGAAUGUUUUGAGCAUCCUGCUGCCGCUGCCCCACACGCCGCCACCACUGCAGCAAGAACAGCUACCCUGUAACACCCGUCACGACGCGGCUCGCGCGUUGCAGUGCAACCGUCCUCGCUGCCUCUCCCUCUCGGUGCCG
rnacentral:misc_RNA from 1 species